ensembl:snRNA U6 U6 spliceosomal RNA
GGGCUCACUUUGGCAGCACAUAUACUAAAAUUGGAAUGAUACAGAGAAGAUUAGCAUGGCCCCUGCACAAAGAAAUAAAUUCCAAAAUAGAUGAAAACUAAAUUUAC